rnacentral:RNase_P_RNA from 1 species
GGAGUGCGAGAUCCAGCCGCUGGUGUUUUUACACGGGAGGAAAGUCCGGGCUCCAAAGGGCAGGAUGCCGGAGAAAUUCCGGCGAGUGUGAACUUCGGGAAAGUGCCACAGAAAAGAAAACCGCCUGAAUAAGGCAAGGGUGAAAAGGUGAGGUAAGAGCUCACCAGACGAGUGGUAACAUUCGUGCUUGGUAAACCCCAUCCGGAGCAAGGUUGAAUAGGGAAGGCUGAAGCGGCCCGCUGACUUCCGGGUACAACCGCUCAUUCUUAUUUGUAAAAAUAAGAUUAGAUAAAUGGCUGGAAGGUAUAACCUACAGAACCCGGCUUAUUGACCGCUCCUAAA